UCCAACGUGGAUACCCUGGGAGGUCACUCUACCCAGGCUCUGUCCAAGU
rnacentral:precursor_RNA from 1 species